AGCUCGUCCAAAAACACAGGAAGAGAAAAUGGUGAAUCCAUGGUCAGUGUGUCUUAUCAUGCUCAGUUUCGGUAUGGACACCAUUGCCCAGGAUGCAUUCUAUCAAUUUGGCUCAGCUGCAGGGGAUACCUUUAUGCCUCAUGUAAUUGCCCAACAAGUGACCCUGCUACAGUCAUUCCCUUACUUCAAUCGCACAUACCGGAUAAUU